AAAUCAAUUUUUCUUUCUACUCUAUCAUGCCACCUCUUAACAUGUAGUAGUGCUGACAUUCAGUAAAGACUUGUAAAAGGGAUUAAUAAACAAUAUACAAGGAGCUUAAAUGACUAAAUAGGAAAAAAAUCUAAUAAUCCAAUUAAAAUUGGGCCAAAAAAUCUGAGUAGACAUUUCUUAAAAUGUCUUAGACAUACAAAUGG